rnacentral:lncRNA from 1 species
GUUCUGUCUUCAGGAUCACGUCCAGAUUCGUUUCCACGAGUCCCUGUGAAGUGGAUAACCACAGCUUCUAUUAAAAUAACUACCAACACUGGUAUACAUAAGGUUCACAAAUAUGAUUACAUACAUUAGUAAGAAAAAUACUUGGAUAUACCUUGUUGUUGCAUCUUCCUAUAUUUGUAACGAUAAAGUAAGCAUAUUAAAACUAGCAUGACCAAAGCCACAAAUGCUACUGGGACAAUAACUCGUACUUUAUUCCCUGCACUUGAGCUUUUACUGUUUUCUAUCGAGUCUGUUGUCAAAACAUAAUGUUCAUGUGACAUUUAGACAGAUAAUUUUGAAGAUAGUAACGAAAUAAAACUAUUGUAUUGAUUUACCUAGCUCAGAAGGUG